CUUCCUGUCAGGAUUGAUGCCUGUGGAGAUGUCUACAUAUACCAAAGUCUCCUUGCUGGGUCAGUGAUGAUCAGGUCAAACCAGAAAGGGGCUUGGAAUUUUAAUUCAAGGGCUACACAGAGAGAACUACUCAAUAAGAAGCUUUAAAAAGGUUAAAGCCAAGUUUGCGUUUGGAAAAUGUUGGGCUGAAUGGAAGUGGCUCACCCUGGGUUUAUCAACAAGCCCUACAACUGAAUGAAAUCUACAAAGCUUUGAGGGGCAUAAAAUCACAGACAGCUCUCCAUUAAUCCCAAAGUGUUUGCUGCACACAAAUAAAAAUCUCCUUGCAUCUAUGCCCCCUCCAUUCCUGAGCCAGCUCUUGUUUGUACAGAAUAUGCAUUUAUCUUGGAGAAUAGUUGACAAUCUGCUUUGCUUCACUACAGUCAACAGAUGGCAGCAAAACUAGUCAAAAGUUGUAUCAUACCUUGCUCUCCAUUUACCCAUGGCUGUAGUGCUUGGAGUUUUCUGAAACUUGGAUCAAAACAGUGGUAAAUGACCCAGUGGCAUGCUAAUCCUUUUCUAUGGUUAAUUCCAUAGCUCACUGCUGACCACAUACUAAAUUACUGGUAGCAUUAAGAUUAUUUAGCAGACAUGUCCAUCUCAUGUUGAACAUGUCGACCUGUCAACUUUACAUCUUUUGGUGAUAGGCUAUUAUUACGGUAACAAUAAAGGAGCUAUAUUAUACUGAUCCAGACCAACUGGUCCAUCAAGCAUAUUUUUGUCUGCUCCGAUUGUGGGAGGGACCACAGCUCAGUAGGACAUACUUUGCAUGCAGAAAAUCCCAGGUUCAGUUUUGUGCAUCUACAGUUAAAAGAAGUAGGGAAGAUGGGAAAACCAAUACUACUUGUUCAUAAUCUGUUUAAUAUGGAAUUGAUAUCAUGUCACCAGCAAGAUCACAUUUCUAAAAAAUAUUGUGUGGUGAGAACUUAAAUAGAUGCAAAUGCCAACCAUUCUUGCUACAUACCAAAAGGAAACAUGCUCUUGAAAAUACUGUUUAUUUUAUAACACUAUAUUGUUAAAUUAUAUCUGUACACAAUUAUUGCCUUUCUGUUAUAGUAAAACUUGCAGAUCACCUCCAGGGUGAAUAUGAUAAUAGAGUUACACAACUGUAUUUAUUGUGCCCAUCACAUUUCCAAAGUGAUGACAAGACCAUAAAGUAACUUAUAACUUCUGAAA